AUUGAACGCUGGCGGCAGGCUUAACACAUGCAAGUCGAGCGGUAGCACAGGGGAGCUUGCUCCCUGGGUGACGAGCGGCGGACGGGUGAGUAAUGUCUGGGAAACUGCCUGAUGGAGGGGGAUAACUACUGGAAACGGUAGCUAAUACCGCAUAACGUCGCAAGACCAAAGAGGGGGACCUUCGGGCCUCUUGCCAUCAGAUGUGCCCAGAUGGGAUUAGCUAGUAGGUGGGGUACUGGCUCACCUAGGCGACGAUCCCUAGCUGGUCUGAGAGGAUGACCAGCCACACUGGAACUGAGACACGGUCCAGACUCCUACGGGAGGCAGCAGUGGGGAAUAUUGCACAAUGGGCGCAAGCCUGAUGCAGCCAUGCCGCGUGUGUGAAGAAGGCCUUCGGGUUGUAAAGCACUUUCAGCGAGGAGGAAGGUGGUGAGCUUAAUACGUUCAUCAAUUGACGUUACUCGCAGAAGAAGCACCGGCUAACUCCGUG
rnacentral:rRNA from 1 species